AACGACGUCGUUUCCCAUUCAUCAAAAACCCUUUUGCCCUAGCCCCUCGAUGUCUCCCUCCUCUGGUCACUCUCACUAAAGCACGAGCGCUCUCAUCUCUCUCCCUGUGGUUCUUUGGAUCUCCCACAGUCGCACUCAAGCUCUCUCCCUCUCUCGUCUCCGGUCUCUCUCACUGCCUUCGGUCUCGCACUGAAGCUGGUCGUCGCACUCUGUGUGAGUCAUCACUGUCUCGCACUCAAUCGCGCUCGCGCGCCUUCCCUGCGCUCGUCAUCGCCGGCAGCAGAAGCUGCAGGUCCCGGGCUGGUCGUGGUUGUUGUCUUCUUGCUUCGAGUCUUGCCGUCAGCUUCCUCCCCGCUGUCAGCUUCCUUCCUGGAACCAGAAGCCCUAAACCCGAUUUGGUGAGUUCCAACAAAUUCUCAUGUUCUUUCUUUUUCUGUUUUGUUGCUGUAAUUCAUCAAUGCACUUUGAUUUUGUUGCUGAAAAUAUCACUGAACUAAUUUUUUUGUUGCUAAAAAUCAUCCUCAUGAAUUUGUUAUCUUGAAUAAUUUGUUACUGAAAUUUGUAGCUGAAAAUAUAACGAGC
rnacentral:lncRNA from 1 species